CUGUUUUGGCAACACAUAUACUGAGAUUGGAACAAUACGGAGAAAAUUAACCUGGCCCCUGUGUAAGGAUGACACACAAUUAGUGGAGCAUUCCAUAUGUUU